rnacentral:rRNA from 1 species
GCUAACUACGUGCCAGCAGCCGCGGUAAAACGUAGGAGGCGAGCGUUAUCCGGAUUUACUGGGCGUAAAGCGUGUGUAGGCGGUUUGAUAAGUUGGAUGUGAAAGCUCCCGGCUCAACUGGGAGAGGUCGUUCAAAACUAUCAGACUAGAGAGUGGUAGAGGGAGGUGGAAUUCCGCGUGUAGUGGUGAAAUGCGUAGAUAUGCGGAGGAACACCAGUGGCGAAAGCGGCCUCCUGGCCCAUUUCUGACGCUCAGACACGAAAGCUAAGGUAGCAAACGGGAUUAGAUACCCCGGUAGUC